rnacentral:lncRNA from 1 species
UGUUUCGCUGCUGGUCCGCCUCAACCCGAAGACCAGCGAUCGAAGUCCCUUCUCCGAGCGCCAUCGCAUCUGAAAGCCCGCGCCGGCCCGCGAAGUCGCUGCUGUUUGCGACCCAGGAGGCCGACGCCAGCCCUCGCCACUCCAUCACCCCUCCAGACGCCGAUCAAGCUGCCGGACUCCACCACCAACGCCAGAGAAGCCGGUCCCGCUUGCCCUUGCUGCUCUGCCCCGACACCUGCAGCGCCUCCACUGGAGUCCGAUCCGCUCAGAUCCUCUGCCCAGAUUUGCUCGAGCACCAGCGGCACCCCCCUCCGAAUUGCCGGAGCUCCGCACCUCCGCAACCUCUGAUUGUGACACCCCUGUUCCGCCGGUUGUCCCUGCUGCUCGGGUGCCGCCCCGUUCCCGCCGGUCCGCCUUCGCCGGAGUUCCCGGUGACCAGCCGCACGAGCUGCCGAGCUUUUCUUUUGGAAACAAAGGAAAAAGAAAAACAAAAAUAAAAGAAAAAGAGAAAAGCAAAUUAGGUAGUUUGUUUUUCUUUAUUUUAUUAUUUAUUCAUUUUAAAUUUUGUUAUUAUUGUUUAAGUUAGAAUAUGAUUUGUCAAUAUUAACAUUUGUGCAUUUUGUAGGCAUUAUACUUGAGGAUUUUGUCCGAACUUAUUGUAAUUAUUAAUUUGAUCCGAGAGACAUCGGAUCAAUUUUUUUAAUUAUAUUAAGUUUCAGGCUUUUUGAUGGUAUUUUGGUUGUUAAAUCAAUGUAAUUAUUAAUUUGAUCCGUAAGAUUUCGGAUUAGAUUUUUAAUUAUUUUGAACUCUUUGUCGUGAUAAUUAGGUUUAAAAUAAUCAUUAAUUUGACCUGUGAGACAACGGGUUAUUUUUUUUCGAUUAUUUUAAUCAUUUAUUUAUUGAAUAUCUUGAUUGUUUAGAUUCAAUGUUUAGUCCAAUAAUUACUUGUUUUGGAAAAACACUAAAACACUAAAAAAAAAUCAAAAAUCAAAAAUCAAAAUCUUGCAUCAAAGCAUGUAGGUUUAAUAAAUCAGACAUGUAGGAUUAGGUUUAUGAAAUUUUCAUCAUCUAGUAAUUAUUGCUAAGUUCAUUUAGUUUAUAAUCGAUCAUAUUUCAUGUCAUCAUUGUUAGUGUAGGUUGCAUAUGUGUAAUAAAAAAAUCAUUAAAAAAUCAUAAAAAGAGUAUGCAUAUAGAAUUACUACGUCAUUCAUCCCAUAUCAUGUAGCAUAUGCAUAUUUAGGAUUAUAUAAAUUAGAUUGCAUACAUAUAGUGAUAAGUUUAAGUCAUAUCAUAUGAAUUGCAUCUCGCAUGUCAUUAAAGUAAAUCCAUGCAUAUUAAAUUUAGAUUAAGAUUGCAUAUAAUUAACAUUUUUUUAAAUAAAAAAAAAGAAAGAAAAUUUAUGUGUCUUGUCGUUUAGAAAUUAUGUUUAGGGCAUGCAUUUUUAUUAGCAUUUUUUAUUUGAAUGUUAUUUUAUUGAUUGCGCACCCGCAUGACCACCAUUUGCAUGUUAGUAACUUAGGUUUAAAUUAAUCAACAUUGCCUGCAAAAUAUUUUUUUUUUAAAUAAAAAUAAAAGGUACCGAAAGGGCGUUAGACUAAUCUAGCGUAACCAUGUCCCCGGACCUAUUGAAUCUCUGGUUCGUAAAAAUAAAGUAUUCUCUCAUACUUUAUUUGGGUUUCUAAUCAACCCUAAUUGAUUAGUGGCGGCUCCAAAUUGAAUAGAAUUGCAUGUUUAAAUAGAUUAAUUUCAAGUCGCGAUUGGUAGGACUUGGGAGGGUCCGAGCCAAGUCUUAGGACUUAGUAAUCCAUUAACCUAGACUUCUAGGAUUGCCCCUGAAGAUAUAGGUCGCGACAGCUUGGCGACUCCGCUGGGGACAGAGUUAAAACUCAUAGUGGACAUAGGCCUGUUUUAUUUUUUUAAGAAAAAUAUUUUUGUUUGGCAGCAUGGAAACAAGGUACGCUCCUAACAUGAAGUGUUAAAUGUUUUUGCAGAUGGGAGGUAUAAGGGGAGUAGUCUUUGCUAACCCUUGUGUUACAGGUUGGAGUUAAGGAUGGAUGGUUGAAUUUAAAUUAUAGAAGUGCCGUUUGCAAUUAAACUGUUGUGCAUGUUUUAUUGUUUUUAGCACUACACUAUUACACACACGACCUGCUGCCGGACCUGGGCUGCGAUAGGAUUCUUAGGAUGGUGUUGAGAAGGAUACUUCCUCUAAAGCGAGACUGCUAUAUAGAGGUUGACCUUCUCUUCCCCGAAAGUUCUUCAUGGUGUCGAAUGUCUUUGUCCAUAUCCGCGAGACUGCGUGAUAUUAGACAUUCCAUUCGACUGAGCCGGGGUUAGGAGGACCUGACACGUUAAUGCGAGACUGCAACGGUCAGAUCAUCCUCUUAGCUCCAUUUUGUUAAGCCAUCUAGAUAGAAAUCGAGCCUCACAUUUCAUGUGUGUGUCUAUGUGAUUGUCAUCCCUUCCCAGUGAAAGUAAGUUGUUUAAAUUCUCACUUUUGCAAUUUACUUACUUGCAUUUUUGUUGGUCCAUGACAAUAGGUUUCGUGGUCAAUCUUGUUUUAUGUGCAAUGGGGAAAACCAACGUACAAUUUAUUUCCUCUCCCAAAAAGAGCUCAAAAUGUGGUUGGACCAAUUAGAUCAAGGUGACUAGGCCUUACGUCCAGUGGUCCCUGAUGUGACUAAGAAGCCCAUUCAGCAGGCACUGAUUGAGCAUCUUGAGCAAAAAAUGGAAAUGAUUGAAGUCGAAAAUAAAAAGCUUCGCAAGACAUUGGGUUCCAGAAAGCAUAUAUAAAAUGUUUUGGUUUUUGUUUCUUAGUUCAAUGUUUAGGGACUUGAAUUUCAAUUCUUAGUUAGAAAAUUUUAUUCAAAUUCCAAAUAAAAUGAGGCGAUUAGACCGUUGUCAUGGACCAAUCUCAUUUGUUGUGAUACUUACUGCAUUAUUUUUACAUUGAUAGGUGACAACACGGCUAACCUAAGAUCACCAAUCCGUACUCGUUCCAGAGCAACAAUGGCUGAUAACACCGAACAAACACGUGUUGCUGAACAAACUCGCAUCGCUGCCCUCGAAUCGGAGAUGAAGCAAGUCCUAAAUGUUCUUGAGCAGCUCUCCAAGCAAAUUGAUUCUCUCCAGGCAAACACUGCCCCACUAGCUUCACAAGUUGAAGUGGUGUUACCACAACAGGCUCCUGCGACUGAUCCGAAAGAUAAAGGCAAGAAUACAUCCGCAGUUGGGCCAUCUACCUCUGAUGAUUCCUCCAAAGAGAAAAUUACUGACGUGCCUCAAAUUGUUGUUGAUGAGGAGGUACAAGUGAUACCCUCGGCUGUACCGAAGACGGAACAAGAAAAACGCAUGGUAAAAAUCGAGGAGAAACUCAAGCAACUGCAGGGUUCGUUUAUCCAAGGCCCAACUGAUUUGUCCCACUAUGCAAAGAUCAAGAUGCCAAAGAAGUUCAAAAUGCCAGACUUUGAAAAGUAUGAUGGCACCUCUUGCCCGAAGAUCCAUCUGCAGACUUAUGUGGUCAGGAUGACCCAAUAUGUUGAUAACAUCCCCUUGAUGAUUCAACAAUUUCAAGCAAGCCUGACAGGACCGGCGUUGCAAUGGUACAUCAUGAAGAAGAUUAAUCUGCUAGAGACUUGGGAGGAUUUGACGGAUGCUUUCUUCAAGCAAUAUAAGUAUAAUAUUGAUGUCACUCCAUCUCGAGAAGACUUACUUCGCACUGAGAAGAAGAGGACGGAAUCUUUCAAGGCAUAUGUCACGAGAUGGAGGACUGUAGCCGCUCAGAUAACUCCAGAGCCAACAGAAAAGGAGCUGAUGGAUUUGUUCAUGAAGACACUCCCGCCUGAGUAUCGAAAUCGAAUGCUGGGAUCGACUGCCGAGUCAUUCAAUCAGCUAAUCCCUGUUGGUGAGCGAAUUGAAGUAGCAUUGCGUGAUGGAUGGGCGUCUGAUCAAACCAGCUCAUAUGGAAGAGUCUCAAUCAAGAAGGAUAAGGAACUUGUAGCGGAGGUUAAUGCAGCUUAUAUGCAACCACCUCGCCCUACCCCGAACACCUAUCAGGGAGGAGCACGACCAUUCUUUGGGCAGCAGAAGAACUCUUCCAGGCGUCAAUUUACGCCUCUUCCUAAGCCAUUGUCCAAGAUCUUGCCAACCCUUCAGAAGAAAGGAUUACUUGCUAAAGAGCCUAAGCGACCUAAUCCCGAGCGAUUCCCCAACUAUGAUCCGUCCAAGACAUGUGCUUAUCAUAUGGGGGAGGUAGGGCAUUCUGUUGACGAUUGCCAUACGCUGCAACACAAAAUCCAAAAUCUUUUGGAUGCCAAUGUGGUCUCAUUCCGCGAUGCACAGCCGAACAUCCAGAAUAACCCACUCAUUGACCACCCAGAAGCUGUGAAUGCCAUUUUUAAUUUUGAUGCUGAGCCCACCAUGUUUCAGAUGAUGCAUAAGGAAGCAGAAGUGAUGGACACCCUGGGGCAACCAAGUGGCAAAUUCGAUUACUAUGUAAAGUAUUCAGCUCCUUCCAGCUCCUACCUCAACCCACAUGAUAUCAUCCCAGAUGGAUGGGGUGGCAUAGAUGAUCCCGCACACACUUGAAGGAAUGACUGAAUUGUUCAUUGACGAAGCUCGAGAGUAGGACACUCCUCUGCGCAGGAGUCUUUAUCGCUUUCCGUAUUUGCAUAUUUGCAUUUUCAAUUCUAGGAUUUCCCUCAUUUCAGUAAUGUAAUUUGUUUUUCAUCCAAUAAAAUACAUGGAGAUUUUCGUGUUUUAAGGGCAUGUUGAAGUACACCAAACUAGCCCUGUGAUGAAAUCCUACCAAAAAGAAAACGGCAAUGAGCUAAUUCUGAAGGCUGGGCUUCUUCAUGUUCCCUUGAAAAAAAUUUCAAAAUAAAAUAAUUUUCCAGCAUGCAUCUAAUUUACCAUGUUUGUUUCAUUUAAUUAUUUGCUUUAUGUUUCAGGUGCAGCUCUGCGCACAUUUAAGGAAUCUCUAUGAGCUCCCUUGCAAAGAGGGGCAAGACAUAGACACUUAACAUCUUUGACUUUAUCAUUUGAUGUGCAAGAAUAGAGCAUGGCAUUUUUAUCAUUUCAUAAUGUUUUCACAUGAUGUGCAAUUCACCAAUUCCACUUGAAAUUUAUCAAAAUGGAUAAUUCGGUGAAGGAUGUUGAGUUACUUGAACAUGCUAAAUGAUGCUAAAUGAGGCGUGAAAGGCAAGCCUAAUCCCAUACACAGUCCCCUGUCUAUACAUUGUGAGGUGAGUAUAGAAACAUUUUGUGUUUCAAGAUGAAGAGUUUUCUUGCAUGAAGUACGACAACUAAAAUGAUGAGGGGCAGUUCAUUUCUCUACAAUGAACCCUUGUUUAAUCCUUCUUUAAGCCUAAACACUUGAAGAACUUCUUUCAUACUACCCCUGUCAAGAACCACCCCACAUCGGGGCAAAUGGAGGUAAGUUGACAUUGAAGGAGAGUGAAAUGGAUGGAAAUUUUCUUGCUCUCACUUGCAUCAAUCUUCAAGUCAUGCUAUUACAUUGAAUUCAUAUGGUAAUUUAAGUGCCUUAGGAUGACGAAGAGCAUUUCUUUCACUAUCCUACACACUUAUAUCCUUUGCAUAGCCCACUUGAGCCUGCAAUUUCAUUUCUUUAAACCCAGUUGGUGAUCAUCCCCCACACUGGGGCAAGGCAAGAGACAGAUGAAGACCCUUGAGGGUUUUAGUGUCAUUUAAAGUAUACUUGACACACAUGUUGUGCGCAAGAACUGAAAUCAAAAUAGAACUAAGGGGCAUGAAAAAGCAGUGUGCCUGGUAAAAGCAAGGCCAAUGCCCAUGAAAAGAAAAGAGAAAUGACUGAUGAAUUUGGGGCAUAAUAAAAAGAGCAGUGUGCUUGAUCAAUGCCCAUCAUCAAAGAAAAUGAUUUUGAGAAAAGAUCUCCAGUUGAAUAAUCAUUGGCAUCAGUGAUAAACUCUUGAGCCAAUAAAGAAAUCUGUUAAGAAGACAAUCAGUGGCGAAGAAAACUAGUGGUAAUGUCAAGAUGAUCACCAACUCUUACCCAUUACACACAUCUUUGAGCGUAACGAUCUUUUCGUUUCUCAAACCCAAGAACCAAGCCUAUGUUACGUCCCUUACAAAGUCUCUUUAGAUUAGGGCACUUGAAUUAACAUAGGAAUUCAUAUGUUUUAAGCAUUGCUCGAAGAAGUGCGAGCAAGAUUAUUUCUUUCUCAUUUUGCAGGGUUCUUGACUUGUAAACCCGGAGAUGAUUACAUAAUUGUUCUUUCAAUAGCCUUGACUCAAAGAGUCUCUUUUGCUAAGCCAUGGACCAAGCCCACAUUACAGUACUUGUUAAAGACCUCUCAGAUUGGUAAGGUCGUACUGAUUGCAAGAAAAUUCAAACUCUUGUCGACAAGAUGAUGAUAAGAUUGAGUGAUAUAUUCCCGCAUCAAUGGUCGGGACAAAUAACCCCUCCUAAAUGAGAGCGAGUGAAAAAGCCUUUUCACACCAAAAGCGUCUCAUUUAGCAUGUUCAAGAGAUUCACACUAUAACUGAAAAUUGUCAUUGUGAUAAUUUUUCCAGUAGAAGCUUGAUAAAGCCAUCAUUGAAUUUUUCCUCAAAGACCAAAAAAUUGUCUUUGAAACCCUGAGUUUGUUCAGUCAUCUUGGUGCUUGAUGAGAAUUCCAAGUACCCAUUUAUAAAAUAUUUUCAAAUGCCUAGUGUGAACUUCAAAUAUUUGAACCCUUAAAUGCUUGAUGUGACUUCCAAGUGUUUGUCUUUCCAAAUGUCUGAUGUGACUUCCAGAUGUUUAGUAAAAUAUUUUCAAAUGUCUAGUGUGAACUCAAGAUAUUUGAACCUUUAAAAUGCUUGAUGUGACUUCCAAAUAUUUGUCUUUUCGAGCGUCUGAUGUGAUUUCCAGAUGUUUUGAAUUUUUGAGUACUUGAUGCAAUUUCCAGGUGCUUGGGAUUUGAUGAGAGUUCCAAAUCUCCCAAAGAUUUUUCUUCAGAUUCAGUUUAAUUUAGGCGACCGUAGAAUGGUACGGGUCCUAAAACAACAUUUAUUGCUCUAACAGGCGACCGUAGAAUGGUAUGGGUCCUGGAAAAGCAGUUUCCCCAUUCAGGCGACCGUAGAAUGGUACGGGUCCUGAAAAAAAUCAAUUCUCCGUCAAGGCGACCGUAGAGUGGUACGGGUCCUCGACAACACCUAUUCCCUAUUUUAGGCGACCGUAGAAUGGUACGGGUCCUAGAAAGUGAAUUCCGUCAAGGCGACCGUAGAAUGGUACGGGUUCUAGGCAAAACCCAUUUUCCUAUUCAGGCGACCGUAGAAUGGUAUGGGUCCUGGAAGGUAAAUCCCCGUUUAGGCGACCGUAGAAUGGUACGAGUUCUAGACACAACCAGACACUGUCAUACUGGGCGACCGUAGAAUGGUACGGGUCCUGGGAAAACAGUUUCUUUGUAAAGUUAUGUUACUAUUUUAGGCGACCGUAGAAUGGUACGGGUCCUAGACAUGUAACACCGACAGCCUAGAACUACUCUAUCCUUCUUGAAGGUAGGUUAUUCCAGGUGCUUGGGAUCUAAUGAGAGUUCCAGACUUUGAGCCUUUCAAUUAUCUGAAGAGAUUUCCAGAUGUUUGUUAAGUCUCAUAGGAAUCAUUUCACACCUAAUAAUACUUUUCUGAAUAUCCAGAUAAGUAUGACAGGUACGUGUUCUUCUUUGCAUUUUGCAUUUCAUUAAGCAUGGAGACAUAGAAAUAUAUGCUCUUGACAAAAUCAUUGCAUUUACAUUGCAUUAUUGCAUGACCUUGCAUUUCAAAAAGAAUUAAAUUUAUUUGAAAAAGAGGUUAUUAACAUUUGCAUAUACACCUUUACCAAAAAAAAAAAAAAAAACAUUUGCAUAUACAUUCCAUAUUCAUUUUGCAUUCAUUUUGCAUUUGCAUUUCAUUAAGCAUAGGCACAUUGAAAUAUAUGUUCUUGACCAAAUCAUUGCAUUUACAUGGCAUUUUUUAUUGCAUGACAUUGCAUUUAUUUGAGUCCAUUUCUUUUAUAAAAAAAAAGGGUUAUUACAAUUAGCAUUUGCAUAUUCAUUUUGCAUGGUUUAAAUUUAGGUGUCAUUUAUCUUUGAAGGAAACCUCUACGAGCUUCCCUUCAAAGAGGGGCAGCUGUUGACACCUAAUUUAGAUUCAAUUUUUAGAAAAUAAAAGAUUAGAGGGAAAUUUUGAAAAGAAAUUUUGAAUUCAAAAUAAUUCAACAGCCGGAUUUUGGAGCCAUUUCUUUGUUGGAGAAGUUGAGCGAAAAUCUCCACCGGCGAGAGGUUGAGCAAAAAUCUCCACCGGCGAAACAAACUCGAAUUUUCGCUUUAUAAAUAGGGGGGGCUUCUCUUCAUUUUUGGGGGAAGGAAAAAGAAAACACAAAAAAGGAAAAGUCAAGAGAAGCUUUCGCUUCUGCAGAGAGAAAGAGAAGAGAAAGGGAGAAAAGUUAAAAAGGCAGAAAGGGAGAAAAGUGAAAAAGGGCGCAGAAGGGAAAGAAGGUGAUUGGACAUUUACUGUUCAUCACCCUCUUCCCUCUGCUGGUUCCGUCUCAGCCCUCCUCUUGCCGGCUCCAUUUCUGUUUCAAUCCGGCGAUGCUCGAGUUCAAUACCGGAACCCGAUGGAAAGCCCUCUGAUCCGGCGGCCCGUGUUGCACUGACGCCGCCGAACGGCACGACGACCCGAGCGACCACCACGCCUUCGACCGCCCGCUUGCCGUCUCUGAAGUACCACCGCAGCUCGUCACCAGCAGAUCGGUGACCGCCUACAGCCCCCGCGACGCCGGAUUUCCUUGUUUCGCUGCUGGUCCGCCUCAACCCGAAGACCAGCGAUCGAAGUCCCUUCUCCGAGCGCCAUCGCAUCUGAAAGCCCGCGCCGGCCCGCGAAGUCGCUGCUGUUUGCGACCCAGGAGGCCGACGCCAGCCCUCGCCACUCCAUCACCCCUCCAGACGCCGAUCAAGCUGCCGGACUCCACCACCAACGCCAGAGAAGCCUGUCCCGCCUGCCCUUGCUGCUCUGCCCCGACACCUGCAGCGCCUCCACUGGAGUCCGAUCCGCUCAGAUCCUCUGCCCAGAUUUGCUCGAGCACCAGCGGCACCCCCCUCCGAAUUGCCGGAGCUCCGCACCUCCGCACCUCCGCAACCUCUGAUUGCGACACCCCUGUUCCGCCGGUUGUCCCUGCUGCUCGGGUGCCGCCCCGUUCCUGCCGGUCCGCCUUCGCCGGAGUUCCCGGUGACCAGCCGCACGAGCUGCCGAGCUUUUCUUUUGGAAACAAAGGAAAAAGAAAAACAAAAAUAAAAGAAAAAGAG